rnacentral:rRNA from 1 species
UUACCAGGUCUUGACAUCCCGAUGCUAUUUCUAGAGAUAGAAAGUUACUUCGGUACAUCGGUGACAGGUGGUGCAUGGUUGUCGUCAGCUCGUGUCGUGAGAUGUUGGGUUAAGUCCCGCAACGAGCGCAACCCCUAUUGUUAGUUGCCAUCAUUCAGUUGGGCACUCUAGCGAGACUGCCGGUAAUAAACCGGAGGAAGGUGGGGAUGACGUCGAAUCAUCAUGCCCCUUAUGACCUGGGCUACACACGUGCUACAAUGGUUGGUACAACGAGUUGCGAGUCGGUGACGGCGAGCUAAUCUCUUAAAGCCAAUCUCAGUUCGGAUUGUAGGCUGCAACUCGCCUACAUGAAGUCGGAAUCGCUAGUAAUCGCGGAUCAGCACGCCGCGGUGAAUACGUUCCCGGGCCUU